rnacentral:rRNA from 1 species
AUUGAACGCUGGCGGCAGGCCUAACACAUGCAAGUCGAGCGAGCGGCGGACGGGUGAGUAAUGUCUGGGGACUGCCCGAUAGAGGGGGAUAACUACUGGACACGGUAGCUAAUACCGCAUACUAUCGGAAAACCCAUAUGGGAUUAGCUAGUAGGUGAGGUAAUGGCUCACCUAGGCGACGAUCCCUAGCUGGUCUGAGAGGCUGAUCAGCCACACGGGGACGGAGACACGGCCCAGACUCCUACGGAGGCAGCAGUGGGGAAUAUUGGACAAUGGGCGCAAGCCUGAUGCAGCCAUGCCGCGUGUGUGAAGAAGGCCCUAGGGUGGUAAAGUACUUUAAGUCGGGAGGCGUUACCGACAGAAGAAGCACCGACUAACUCCGUGCCAGCAGCCGCGGUAAUUC